GCACCCAUGUUUUCCGCAUGUGUACGUAAUUAAUAGCCUAUAUCCUUUGCUGCAAGGUUAUAUCGAUAGUAUAAAAUAGAAGUUUGUAGCUGGGUACUUCAUACUAGAUCAGCUGAAGAUCAUUGUGUGAAUAUCUGAGUUAAUCUAAGGUCACUGGCUUACCUGCAUCAUUAACUAUGAAGUGCACAGCUGUUUUCCUCUUCUCACUCGUUGCAAUAGUUUCUGCUCAGUACCAUGGCACGGCAAAAUCUGGUGCCACGAGAAUGACAAGGUGGGGGCCACAUGGGAGGCAGGGCAAAUUCUGGUUCCUCUAGAAUGGCAAGCGGAGGCCACAUGGGCGGUAUGAAUCAAAUGGGAGGACAUCAUCGAAUGGGACGUAGUCCUGUCAUGCCAUCUGGGCAUAUGGGGAUGGGACGAAUGGGCACUGGACAUAUGGGAGCUGGACGAAUGAGCAGCGGACAAAUGGGAGCUGGACGAACUGGCAGUGGACAUAUGGGAGUUGGACAAAUAGGAGGAAUGAGUCAAAUGAGCGGACAUCAUCGUAUGGGACGUAGCCCUGUAAUGCCAGUUGGACAUAUGGGAUCUGGACGAAUGAGCACUGGACAUAUGGGAGGCAUGAGUCAAAUGGGACCUGGACAUAUGGCAGGAUGACCCAGAUGGGUUCUGGACAUAUGGCUGGACAUAUGGGAGGAAUGAGCCAAAUGGGAGGACAUCAUCGCAUGGGCCGCAGCCUUGCUAUGCCUGCAGGUCACAUGGGAGCUGGACAAAUAGGAGGAAUCGGUAUGGGACAUGGUGGAUCUGUAGGUUAUGCCGGACACAUGGGUGGCGCCUCAAGAAUGAUGGGAGGAAGGCAUCAUGGCUAAACUCGUGAUGUCCAUUUACUGAAUCUGAAUGAAUAGUCUAGGAGCUAUUUCAUGCAUAUCAUACAUAUUAGCCAAAAUGUAUACAUUUUAACAAGAUAAAUAAAAAUUGUACAUAUUUUAAUAACAUA